rnacentral:rRNA from 1 species
AGAGUUUGAUCCUGGCUCAGGAUGAACGCUGGCGGCGUGCUUAACACAUGCAAGUCGAACGGACUUGAUUGGAGCUUGCUCCGAUCAAGUUAGUGGCGGACGGGUGAGUAACGCGUGGGUAACCUGCCUCACACUGGGGGACAACAGUUGGAAACGACUGCUAAUACCGCAUAAGCAUACAGUGUCGCAUGACACAGUGUGAAAAACUCCGGUGGUGUGAGAUGGACCCGCGUCUGAUUAGCUAGUUGGUGAGGUAACGGCCCACCAAGGCAACGAUCAGUAGCCGGCCUGAGAGGGUGAACGGCCACAUUGGGACUGAGACACGGCCCAAACUCCUACGGGAGGCAGCAGUGGGGAAUAUUGCACAAUGGGGGAAACCCUGAUGCAGCGACGCCGCGUGAGUGAAGAAGUAUUUCGGUAUGUAAAGCUCUAUCAGCAGGGAAGAAAAUGACGGUACCUGACUAAGAAGCCCCGGCUAACUACGUGCCAGCAGCCGCGGUAAUACGUAGGGGGCAAGCGUUAUCCGGAUUUACUGGGUGUAAAGGGAGCGUAGACGGCAUUGCAAGUCUGAUGUGAAAGCCCGGGGCUUAACCCCGGGACUGCAUUGGAAACUGUAGAGCUGGAGUGCAGGAGAGGUAAGCGGAAUUCCUAGUGUAGCGGUGAAAUGCGUAGAUAUUAGGAGGAACACCAGAGGCGAAGGCGGCUUACUGGACUGUAACUGACGUUGAGGCUCGAAAGCGUGGGGAGCAAACAGGAUUAGAUACCCUGGUAGUCCACGCGGUAAACGAUGAUUACUAGAUGUUGGGGGACCAAGGUCCU